CCUGACCUCCACAGACGAAGCUCUCAAGCUCAACAGUAGGAAUUGAUGAUCCACGACUCACGCUCAUUGCACCACCAAAACCAAUAGUAUCUUCAGUCACCAACGAUGCCGCAACUAACUCAUCCUGACAUAUGUUUGAUUACGGAAUCGUCGUCGCGCACCGCUUCAAAGGCUUCAUCGCACUACCGUCUCCUAUUCUCCUUCGCCUCUCACGCGCCUGAUGUUGGGCGACGCGGCAUUGCGGCUCUGUACCAGCGGGAUUCGGCCUUCUGGUUCUGGCGUUGGCGAGAAAGAUCAAGUAAACCUGAACUGGCGAAUCUUCAAAAGCUCGAUGAUCCUUACCAUCGCCGAUUUCUCGAUUCUUAUCCGCACGCAAGGCUCCAUCGGCAACGUGCGUUUCCGCAUGGCGCCCCGAAUCGGUACGUCGCGAUGGUCCCGACCUCAUCGAACCUUCAGGUGGAAGUUAGUAUAGUGGCAAAUGAAGCGGCGUGUACACUCAAAACAGGAAUAGCUUCACUCGGAACACCUAGACUGGAGGACCUGAGUAUGAGGAUCGACUCUUUUAGUGGAGCCCAUUUCUGCUGAGAUCCGAAACUGUAGUUCUUUGCAAAUGCUUUAUCUCGAAGGGAAUGUACUUGCUGGGAAGGUUUCUUAAUUCUUAGAUGAAUUCAGGGGUUUUGAGAGUUUUUUUUGUCUCUUGGAGAUAAACUGUUUCUCAAGUUUAGUUCCUGCAAGUAUCACUAAUCUCAUGGGGACUUGAAGCUUUGAAUUGAAGAAGCAAUAGCUUCAUUGGUAGUUUGCGGGAGCAAAUAACGGAGAUGAGCAUCUUGAUUAAUUUUGGACUUCAGUGGAAAUAGAAUCUUAGAGCCAAUUCCAGUUGCUUUGGGUGAUCUUCUUUUUAAGCCAACCGCCUGUGGUUCGAGCAAGUAGAAUUUGUCUGGCGAGUUGCCGGUUGAGCUCAUAGGCUUGCUCAGUUUGCAAGUCCCUGCUUUACAAGAGAGCAAGCAUGUUAUGUGGUGAUGUUCCUGAAGGGUUUAGUAGUUUGGUUCUCUAAUUGUGUACAGUUCAAGAGAAGACGGAUUCAGUUUGUCUAUUCCACAUUAGAUAAGAGCUACGGUGGCAUUCAUGCUUCUGCUGGUGCUUGCUUACCCCCUUGACGAUGUAAUCAUCCCCUUCUCACCGCCUUUGUUGAAUCCUCGUCAUUCACGAUCACUACUAUCACUGAACCAUCGCUAUCGCUGAGGUGCAACAUGCUGGUUGCCUCACGGAAUCGUCGUGCCAAAUUACCGAAACUUUGCAGGAGGGUCGCGGCGGUAGGAACAAAAUUAUUUAUUCAUAAUGAAAAAUCACCGGUUCGUUAUAUAUGUUGACUACUAACAAAGCAAAAGGAGUUUCUCACAUCGUCUAUCAUCUAUGUAAACGAAGCUUAUUAUUCC